GGACUACCCGGGUUUCUAAUCCUGUUUGCUCCCCUAGCUUUCGUUCCUCAGCGUCAGUUGCGGUCCAGCGAGCCGCCUUCGCCACGGGUGUUCCUACAGAUAUCUACGCAUUUCACCGCUACACCUGUAAUUCCACUCGCCUCUCCCGCACUCUAGCACGGCAGUUUCGGGAGCAGUCUCUGAGUUGAGCCCAGAGAUUUCACUUCCGACUUGCCGCACCGCCUACGAACCCUUUACGCCCAGUAAUUCCGAGCAACGCUGGCCCCCUACGUAUUACCGCGGCGGCUGGCAC
rnacentral:rRNA from 1 species